rnacentral:tRNA from 1 species
UAGAAUGAAGUUCGUUGGUUUGAACAUUUAGCUGUUAACUAAGUUGUUGUGGGAUCCAAGGCCCAUCUUUCUAG